UACGUAGGGUCCAAGCGUUAUCCGGAAUCACUGGGCGUAAAGCGUGCGUAGGCGGGUGUUUAAGUGCAAUGCGAAAUCCUGUGGCUCAACCAUAUGGACUGUAUUGCAUACUGGAUACCUGGAGGAAUGCAGAGGCAAGUGGAAUUACUGGUGUAGCAGUGAAAUGCGUAGAUAUCAGUAGGAACACCAAUGGCGAAGGCAGCUUGCUGGGCAUUUUCUGACGCUAAGGCACGAAAGCGUGGGGAGCGAACAGG
rnacentral:rRNA from 1 species